GAUGAAGAACGCAGUGAAAUGCGAUAAGUAAUGUGAAUUGCAGAAUUCAGUGAAUCAUCGAAUCUUUGAACGCACCUUGCGCCCUUUGGUAUUCCGAAGGGCAUGCCUGUUUGAGUGUCAUGAAACCUCACCCCACUUGGGUUUUUGCCUGAGCGGUGGUGUAUUGGGUGUUGCCUUGCUAAAGGCUCGCCUUAAAGACAUAAGCACCUUGGAUGUAAUACGUUUCAUCCUUCUGGGUGGCUGAUAACCCCACAUAUUCAUGAUCUGGCCUCAAAUCAGGUAGGGCUACCCGCUGAACUUAAGCAUAUCAUAAGCGGAGGA
rnacentral:misc_RNA from 1 species